UUUUUAUUUUUAGUAGAGACAGGGUUUUGCUAUGUUGGCCAGGCUGGUCUCAAACCCCUGACCUCAAGCGAUCGACCAGUCUCAACCUCUCAAAGUGUUAGAAUUACAGGCAUGAGAAUUGCUUGAACCCAGGAGGCGGAGGUCGCGGUGAGCCGAGAUUGCACCAUUGCACUCCAGCCUGGGCGAGAAGAGUGAAACUCUGUCUCAAAAAAAAAAAAAA
ensembl:lncRNA novel transcript, overlapping C16orf73